CUUUAGGGGCUGUGAGGGACACAGGGUGAAAAGGGUGCUCUGAAGGGUCACUGAGGGGCCCUAAGGGUGCCCUGAGGGAGACCAGACGGGCCGGGGCGGGUCGGUCGCCGAGGCUGCGCUGCGUUUCCCGCCCUCCCCUCAGCGCCCUCAGCCCCCUCAGCGCCCUCAGCCCCCUCAGCGCCCUCAGCGCCCUCAGCGCCCUCAGCCGCAGUGUCCCGCCACUCCCCGGUCUGUGAGGUGGGCGCAGGUAAAAGGCGCUUCGGAGAAGCUCGAUAAAAGGUUGUGGAAUCGCCCUAGAGAAGAUUUUGGGCUGUUAAAGACGUUAAACAGUGUUGAGCAGCAGCGUCAGAAGGGCAGCACGGUCUUUCAGUGGAGUUAUUGAGGAAAAAGCUUCUUGAACUCCGUCACCCUUGGUGAGAAGCGAGGAAGAAGAAAGAAGAGACUGGAGUGUAACUUCGAGGCAAGAGAAAAGAAGAAGAGCAGCAGCAUAGAGCUAAAGAGUGGACCGGCGAGGCAAGAGCCAGGAAGAAGAGCGUCGGCUUCGCGCUCAAGAGGGGGUGGGAGAAGGGCCCUCUGGGCAAAGGCCCCUCCCUGGCAUGACCCGGGGCAGGGAUCCCUAAGAGUCCGGCGGGCAGCUUCCGGCUGCGCCGGCCGGCUUGGCGCUGGGCGACCUCCCUGUAAGCAGGGCCAGGUCCUUUGCUUUGCUUGGCGUUGGCCUUUUGCCAUCGCGCUCCUGUGGCUGCCCGGAGAGAGGGGCAACCGCCCUGUAAGGAGGGCGAGAGUGCCCGCCUCCGCGCCCGAGGGGGGAAACGGAGCUCUCCCGGACCCCCAGCCCGCCCGCCCUGUAAGCAGGGCAGGGCUUUUUCCCUUGGCACCUUUGGUGCCUGCUGGCGGCCCCUAGCCAGAGUGACCCCCCGUAGUCGGGGUGCGUCACAGCCCGUGUCCCUUGCCCCUCAGCGCGCUGAGGCCCUUCUGGCCCGUGCGCAGCCCGGGGGCGAGCCCGAGGCUCUCCUGUCCUGCUCGGCGGCAGGGCCGGCUCCCCACGGCUCGGCGCACAGAGCUUGCUCCCUCUUCUGGGACGUUCCCCCUUUGUG